CCUACGGGCGACAGCAGUGAGGAAUAUUGGUCAAUGGCCGGAAGGCUGAACCAGCCAUGCCGCGUGAAGGUCAGUGCCCUAUGGGCGUUAAACUUCUUUUGUGCGGGAGCAAUAAUGGUCACGUGUGGCCAGACGAGAGUACCGUACGAAUAAGCAUCGGCUAACUCCGUGCCAGCAGCCGCGGUAAUACGGGGGAUGCAAGCGUUAUCCGGAUUUAUUGGGGUUAAAGGGUGCGUAGGCUGUGAGGUAAGUCAGCGGUGAAAUGCCCCCGCUCAACGGGGUGAAGUGCCAUUGAUACUGCCUUGCUGGAAUGCGGAUGACGUGGGAGGAAUGUGUGGUGUAGCGGUGAAAUGCAUAGAUAUCACACAGAACACCGAUUGCGAAGGCAUCUCACGAAUCCGCGAUUGACGCUGAUGCACGAAAGCGUGGGUAUCAAACAGGAUUAGAUACCCUUGUAGUC
rnacentral:rRNA from 1 species